UCCAUCGUAGUCUAGGUGGUUAGGAUACUCGGCUCUCACCCGAGAGAACCGGGUCCAAGUCCGGCAACGGAA
rnacentral:tRNA from 1 species